UCAUUCUUGACAAGCUAAAAAUAUAUCCUCUGUUUCAAACUGUAGAUGUAGAAUGGUAUACUUUGUAUAAUAUAUCAAUACAUAAUACAGGGAGACGGAUACUUUUAUAGUUUCAUCAAUGAAGAUAUAACCAGGUGUGAGAGAAAAAAAAGAGACAUGUUACAAGCUUCUGAAAGAAAAAGUGAAAUCACUAAAAUACCAAACUCCUAGAAAUAUUCAGAAUGGACAGCCCCUCGUACACUUCAACUGAACGGAUAACAACUGUCACAUUCCUGACUUGGUACAGGCAUUCCCAGUUAUAAACCUUAAUUGAUUUGCACUUAUUACAAAAUUUCUGACAUUUGGAAUGGUUAAAAAGUAAUAUUCACAUUUAUCAUAUGUUUAGUAGUAAAUACAGUAGUUUUGCAUAUUUGAUAAAUAGCCUGCUGUUUAAUCCAUAUCGCACAACUUUGAUGCGCACCCUUUAUCGCAUACCCUUUAUCACACCCUACUUUUUUUUUUUUUUGCUUAAGAAAAUUUUUCCUUUAAAUAGGUCCAAUAGAACGGUCAUUCGGGCCUGAUGCAAUUUAUUGAAUGACGUCAUUGUUUGGUAUGUGACGUCACGAAUGUCAUUUUUUCAUAUUUUUUGGCACACUAAAUGGAACUAAAAAAUAUACAAUAAUAAACAAAAUAUUUUUAAAACAACAGCACGCAAAUUGUAAGGUAACCUAGGUGCUAUGGAUAAGUAAUUGAGCAGUUCUUUUAAGGUCUUUGUAACAAGACAAAAGUAGAACUGAAGGUAACCCAGUGCUAUGGAUCAGAAAACAGUUCAUAUAAUAUAAUACUCUUCUGUUGAAAUAUAUGAUAAAGCGUAUAGAACAUGGCAAAAUCCAUAUCAUAUGUCGUAUCAUCCUGAGACACCAAUAUCAGCCCAAAGGCCUAUAGAUUUUUGAAUGUUUAAUAUGACAUUGAAAAAAUCACGUACUAUCAACAAACUAGCAAACAAAAACAAAAACAAAAAACUGUCCACAUGCAUAUUAUUUGUUGCUCAAUGUUGAAUGGUUUAGACAAAUUUAAGCCCUUUUCCCACAAUAUGACACUUAUAUAAAAUGUUAAAAUGGCUUCUGAUUUAAUAAAAUGUUAAAAUGGCUCUGAUUUACUAGAACUUUUGUUUUACUCAUGUUUUAUAUAUUCACUUGUUCUAAAU
rnacentral:lncRNA from 1 species